AUUUAAAAAUUGCUUAAAUUUAUAUUUAAAAUCAGUGUAAAAUACAUAUUUGUUGUUAAUAAUAAACAUUAUUGAGUUUUAUGACAUAAUGUAAUAGAAGUAUAUAUUUUACAUAUAAAUAUAUUGAGUAAGAAUUACAAAAAUGUCAUUCUUAUCGAAUUUAAAGAAAGCAUUCCACUUUGGUGGAAAUGAUGCUAAGAAAAAGAAAUUAUAUAAUAAUAUUAAAAUGGAUUGUAAUCCAGAAGAAUUCUGGGAAAUGAUAGGUGAGCUAGGAGAUGGAGCAUUUGGAAAAGUUUAUAAGGCACAACAUAGGCAAACUCAUCAACUUGCUGCUGCAAAAAUGUGUGCAUUGGAGGGAGAAGAUGAUCUCAGUGAUUUUAUGAUUGAAAUAGAUAUUUUAUCAGAAUGUAAACAUCCCAAUGUUGUUGAAUUACAUGAAGCAUAUUUUAUUGAAGGCAAAUUAUGGAUGUUGAUAGAAUAUUGUGAUGGUGGUGCUGUUGAUUCCAUAAUGGUUGAAUUAGCAAAAGCUUUGACAGAACCACAAAUAGCCUAUAUAUGUCAACAUAUGGCAAAAGGUCUUGCAUUUUUACAUAAAUCUAAAGUUAUUCACAGGGAUUUAAAAGCAGGAAAUGUUUUAUUAACAAUGGCAGGAGGAGUGAAAUUAGCUGACUUUGGAGUAUCUGCAAAAAAUAAGCAUACUUUACAGAAACAUGACACAUUUAUUGGGACACCAUAUUGGAUGGCUCCAGAAGUAGUGUUAUGUGAGACAUUUAGAGAUAAUCCUUAUGAUUUUAAAGUAGACAUUUGGUCACUUGGUAUUACUUUAAUAGAAUUCGCGCAAAUGGAACCACCAAACCAUGAAAUGUCUCCAAUGCGUGUUCUUCUUAAAAUACAAAAGAGUGAUCCACCCAGACUUGAUCAACCUGGAAAAUGGAGCAAAGAUUUCAAUGAUUUUAUUGCAAAAGCUCUUAUUAAGGAUCCAACAUCAAGACCUACAGCUGAUGAAUUAUUGAAACAUCCAUUCAUAAAUCGUAAUUUGGAUUCAAAACCAAUCAGAGAUUUAUUAUUGGAAUAUAAAGCUGAUGUUGUUGAGGAGGAAUUAGUCGACGAAGAAACUGAGGAGCAACGCACGUCUCAGCUUCCUCUGGAGCUGGAUCAACUCGGAGAUGACUCUGCGUCUAUGCGCAGUGACGCUGAUGUUCAGAUUUCUGAAAAAGAAAAUCUUGUUGCAUCACCUGUGUCUGCAAAAAAAGAAGAAAGUCAUAAACGAGAAAUUAACAGAGAUGGUGAAAGAGAGGAUAGAAACAAGAAAUUACGUAAAGCGGAAUCAAAAGAUAAUAUAACCGUUUCUGUUGAGAAAAAACAAGCACCUAAACCUCCUAAUACAAACGAAACGAGCGAACGUAGAGUAUCUCGAGAAAAAGGUCCUGCGCCUCCUCCACCACUUAUACGUCAAAAUAGUAAAAUUGAAGAUAAGGAAAAUAAUAUAAAAGUUGUCGAUAAACAAAGUAAUAAAGAAGUAUUAAACGAAUACAAGGUUAUUGAUAAGCAACAAAAAGAUAGAAAUGAAUCGUCGCAAUUAGAUCAGGAAAUGUUAGGCAGGGAACAGACAAAUGUAGAUACGCUUUGUGAAAAAACAAACGUAUUAUCUAGUUUAGAAAAAAUUAUAUUAGAAAGUAAUGAAAGAGAAAAGAAUAAGAUAGAUGAUGCAAACAAAAAUGAUAUUAAACAAAGAUUGAUAGAUGAUAAACUGAAUUUAUCAUCGAGGACACAAUUAACAUUAGAGGAGAAGAGAAAGUCAGCACCGGUUAAAUUAGAAUUAAUCGAAGACUGGACGAAACCAGUAUUCAAUAAACAAUCAUCGUUGGAAGAAAAAAGCAGAAUUGAGAAGAAAGCACCGAUUGAUAUACAAGUUAAAAGACAAUCUUCAUCGGAAGAAAAUUAUAAGAGUUUGCAAGAAAAACGAAAAUCUGUAGAGCAAAAAUUAAAUGCAGUUUUAGAGAAACGAUUUUCAAUGGAUACUGAAAUGCGAAUGAGUGUUUCUUCUAUGGAAGCAUUAUCUCAUCGAGAAGUUUUAACAGCAAGUACAUCCGAAAAAAAUAUCGUUAAGGCUUGUUCGAUCGAAGAUGUCAAAACGGAUUAUGGAACGUCUAAAACAGAAUCUGUUAUCAAAAGUCAUAGCGAAGGAUCUUCCAGAUAUGUUUCAUUAGAAAAUUUUCCCGAUGAAUUUGACGGGAAACGGGAUAAGAAAUGGCCAAGUAAAGAACACAAUUAUGAGAAUGUGGUGAACAAUGGUGAUAGCGUAAACUGUGAGAAGAAAGGUUCUUCGGUGAAUGUAUCAGUAAUUACAUCAACUCCUAUUAAAAAUACUUCGAGAAGAGGUAGCGGAGAUAACGUAGUUGUCAUUACUGGUAAAUCCGAUCAAGAAAUACGUCCAAAUACAUCAACCGUCCGGAUUACAGCAGAUAGUCCAGAUUUAUCGAAUAGUCUUGCGAGCAAUGUUAGUCAAGUAACAGUGGUAACGACACAUCCUCCGGUUCUUGUCGAUGCUAUGUCAUCAUUAGCAGCGACUCUUUCUUGUCGUCAACCUCCAACAUCGGAAGUUAUUAUUGUCGCGAAUGAAUUAAAUAAAACACAAGUGAACGAAAGUUCAACCGAUGAUGAUGGAUUCCCAAGUUUAGAUAGUUUAGAAUACAUGCCCCAAGAGCAACCUAUAAUUCUUACCGACGUUUCUAAAAGAAUCGGUAAGAAGUUAGAUGAAUCCGAGGUUCUCAUUGUUAGUCCAAUCGUAGACGAAUUGCAAGAUACUAGUCACGUUUCCGUUGUUACCGUCGGUGAUGAUAAGGAACAAGUGAAAGAUUCCUCGAUACUUAAUAAACACGAAGCCGUACGAACUUCUUCUUCUCACAGUGAUACAAGUUUAAUCGAAAGAUCGAGUACAAAAAGCGACAGCGGCGAUGAAAUUACUAAAAUGAUAGUCGCUGGGACAACGAUAGAAUCAAUAGAUAUCGAUGAUGUGGAGAGAAAUUCGAAAAAGGUGAAUGGUCUGUUAAAAAAUGAUAAAUCUCCAAUUGUUGAUCGUAUAGAUGAGAAAGUUUUAAAAACGCUCAAACAGAAAGAAAUAAAUAAAGUAUAUAAAGAGAAGAGAGUAUCCCCGGAUAGUUUUGAAGGAUCUAGAUCCCAAAGUGAAUCCGGAUCGACAAGAUCACACACGCCGAGUAAAAGCAUAGAUCGCUCCGAUGCCGAAUCCAUUUCCACCACGAUAAGCCAGGACAGUAGAGAAUCUAGUAAAGAGAAUCAUUUGAGUCAAGGGCAAUCUGGGGAAGUAGACGAGGAGGUAGUGUUGCGACGGAAGUCCGAUUAUAAUCGCGAGAUACAACGACCAACGAAAACAAAAGAGGAUAUUCAAAUGAUGAAUUUGAAGAAAAAAACGAGAAAAAGGACGAGAAAAUUUGAGAUUGAUGGUGUAGUAGUUACCACGACGACGUCGAAGGUAAUUUACGGGGAUGACGAAAACGGAAAAGUUUACGAUGAUCAAAUUUUUAGGAAGCAAGAGUUAAGGGAAUUAAAAAUGCUACAGAAAAUGGAACAGAAACAGUUUCAAGAUUUGUCGCAAAAGGCACAGUUCAACAAAGAUCAGCAAGACAAGCGUUUCGAGCAAGAGAGACAACUGCUGGAAAGAAAUGCUGAAACUGAUUUGGAAACACUUGCUCGCCAACAAAGGCAGCAAAUCGAACGGGCAGAAGCGCAACAAGAGGCUGAUCUUAGGCUUGCUUCGAAAAAAAUACGUAGCGAACAAGAGAGGGAAUUGAAACAAUUUCGCGAAGGAUUGAAACAGGAGUUAAAACUACUUAAGCAAGAGGUGGACUUGAUGCCGAAAGAUAAGAGGAAGAGUGCGUUUAAGAUACGUAAAGAGAAAUUAGAGGCUGAACACGAAGAAAGAGAGAAACAUUUCUUAGAUAAGCUUAACGAAAGUCAUGAAUUAUUGUUGAGAAGAUUGUCCGAUAGUCAUCGCGAGAAAAUUGCUUUAAUGGAAAGACAAUUUUUGCAACAAAAGCAACAGCUAAUGAGAGCUCGGGAGGCAGCCAUUUGGGAGCAAGAAGAACGGCAUAUACACGAGAAGCAACAAUUAUUAAAGAAACAAUUAAAGGACAUUUUCUUCUUGCAAAGACAUCAGAUGUUGAUACGCCACGAAAAAGAAUUGGAACAGAUGAAGAGAAUGAAUCAACGGAAGGAAGAAGAAUUGAUUAAACGGCAGACGGUGGAACGUAGAAAUUUACCUAAAAGAAUUCGCAACGAGAUGAAGGCGCGCGAAAUGAUGUUUAGGGAAUCCAUGAGGAUUUCCAUGUCUUCUGUUAUCGCACCAGAUCCUGAUGCCGAGAGAGAAAAAUUAAAAAAAUUCCAAGAGAAUGAGAAAAAGCGGUAUAGAGCCGAGCAACAAAGAUUCGAAUUAAAACAUUCGCGGCAAUUGGAAGAGGUAAGAGCGCAAAGUGAUGCCACUAUCAAAGAAUUGGAACAAUUACAGAAUGAAAAGAGGAAAAUGUUGAUGGAGCAUGAAACGCUGAAGCUAAAGGAAUUAGAAGAGGCGUAUGCUAAAGAGCUUCGCGAAUGGAAAGCGCAACUCAAGCCUCGAAAGCAGAAGUUAGAAGCUGUGCUGACGGCUGAAAUGGAAGCGUUGGAAGUUCGUUACCGAGACUAUUUGCCCUCGAGUCUUAGUGGUCUCUCUUCUCCCCUUUUAGAUUGUUCUUCUCUGUUUAAUUUUGAAAGUUGGAAGAAAUCUCCGCGUUUACCUCGCUCUACUCCAACAUCCCCUUCCCCGUUUACCAUUCCAAGGGUGUCGCUAAGAGUUGGUGGUUUGGACACCGGUUCCGUUAAUGGCAUGCCUUCACGAAGUCAAUCCAAACCAGAUCUAGUACCGUCUCCCUCAUCUCGUAGAUAGUAUUCCGAAACUCCUCUUGUGUCUCCUCCCAAAUAUUUUCGUUAUUCAUAGAGAGAAGUUUCGAGAUAAAUUUCUAUUCUAUUCUGUUUAUCAUUUAUUUCUUUUAUAAUUACUUACAAUUAUUCCUUAUUUUUUUUUCUCUCUCUCUCUCUCUCUAAUUAAUCAAACUUACUUAAUUAUUUUCUUACAAUCUAAUCGCUAUUUCGAAAUUUCUCUUAUUAAAAAUUAUGCUUUUGUGUAUUUAAGGGUAUCAUUUUACUCAUGCCCGCUUUACUCACCGUUGCUUCAAUUAUAUAGCAAUAUUUAUCGUCUGUUUAAAUGCUAUUAUUAUAUUACAUGUAUAUAUAAUUUACGUUUACGUAUUAAUGUGUCCCCCAAUAUGCACACACGUAUAUUUAAUAUAUUUUUACGUAACCAAUUUAAAGGAAAAAUAUAUACAUAUAUAUAUAUAUAUAUUGUUUGGGCUUACACAUUUAAUAACAUUUUGAAUAAGUGAUAAUAUAUCGCAAGGAAAUAAUUAAUUUAUAACACGAGUUUGCAAUUCUUGGGGAACGUAAAAACCAAUAAGUAAUAUACCCUUAAAAUGAUAAGAGCUUGUUAUUGUGUUAGCUAUUUAGUUUAAGUUUAUAGUUUUUUUCUAAGUGAUGAGAUAUUAAACAUAAAUAUAUCACUGGUAUUAAAUUAAUUUAUCGUUGAAAUUGCACUGUUGUUAAAUUACGAUGUUGCAGAUUUAUUGUCCACGCGCAGAACACUCGUUACUUAAGUUUUUCAUCGCAAAUAAACAUAACGUAUCAUAAGACAAUUUUUUUUAAUGGAUAAUCAUGUUAUAAUGUUCAACGUGAGUGUCAACGAGCAUUUAUAUAUCAUAGUACUGAAUGGUAUUUUAUGCUUAUUUUGUAUGUGAUUAGAUAUUUAUCGUUCGUUGUAUUAUCGAUAAUAUACGUAAGUUUCGUGUUUCGAUAGUAGCUUUUCUAUGGUUAUUAAACAAAAUUAUAACAGGAGGUGAAUUGGUAAUAAUUGUGGGUUACAUGUAUGUUGUAUACUUACCGAACGUAGUAAAAUGUGCGAUAAAUGCUUAUAUACAUGAGGGGUUCUCAUAUAAUUGUUUCCAAUGUGUACGUUGUAUCGCGUUUAUUCCCAUUUUUGUUACGUACCUUUCUCAUUAAAUAUCCAUUAAGACAACAUGUCGGGAAAGAGAUUCCACGACUGGAUAUCAGAACGAUCUACUAGGUAAUAAACAAGAAAUUGGAAGAACAGUUUGCGUUACAGCUGGAGGAACAAGAGGCGAUUUACGGGCCAAGUGCGAUACCAUUGUGCUUACCAGCAGAUCUUACCGACUUGACGCAUCAUACGGUUGGCUCAACCCGUAGCUCGCUUUCUUCG